ACUACGGUGCUGAAGCAACAAAUGCCCUGCUUCCAGGAAAAGCCUCUAAGCAUCAGGUAACACGAAAUCGUACCCCAAACCGACACAGGUGGUCAGGUAGAGAAUACCAAGGCGCUUGAGAGAACUCGGGUGAAGGAACUAGGCAAAAUGGUGCCGUAACUUCGGGAGAAGGCACGCUGACACGUAGGUGAAGUGAUUUACUCAUGGAGCUGAAGUCAGUCGAAGAUACCAGCUGGCUGCAACUGUUUAUUAAAAACACAGCACUGUGCAAACACGAAAGUGGACGUAUACGGUGUGACGCCUGCCCGGUGCCGGAAGGUUAAUUGAUGGGGUCAGCGUAAGCGAAGCUCCUGAUCGAAGCCCCGGUAAACGGCGGCCGUAACUAUAACGGUCCUAAGGUAGCGAAAUUCCUUGUCGGGUAAGUUCCGACCUGCACGAAUGGCGUAAUGAUGGCCAGGCUGUCUCCACCCGAGACUCAGUGAAAUUGAACUCGCUGUGAAGAUGCAGUGUACCCGCGGCAAGACGGAAAGACCCCGUGAACCUUUACUAUAGCUUGACACUGAACAUUGAGCCUUGAUGUGUAGGAUAGGUGGGAGGCUUUGAAGUGUGGACGCCAGUCUGCAUGGAGCCGACCUUGAAAUACCACCCUUUAAUGUUUGAUGUUCUAACGUGGACCCGUAAUCCGGGUUGCGGACAGUGUCUGGUGGGUAGUUUGACUGGGGCGGUCUCCUCCUAAAGAGUAACGGAGGAGCACGAAGGUUGGCUAAUCCUGGUCGGACAUCAGGAGGUUAGUGCAAUGGCAUAAGCCAGCUUGACUGCGAGCGUGACGGCGCGAGCAGGUGCGAAAGCAGGUCAUAGUGAUCCGGUGGUUCUGAAUGGAAGGGCCAUCGCUCAACGGAUAAAAGGUACUCCGGGGAUAACAGGCUGAUACCGCCCAAGAGUUCAUAUCGACGGCGGUGUUUGGCACCUCGAUGUCGGCUCAUCACAUCCUGGGGCUGAAGUAGGUCCCAAGGGUAUGGCUGUUCGCCAUUUAAAGUGGUACGCGAGCUGGGUUUAGAACGUCGUGAGACAGUUCGGUCCCUAUCUGCCGUGGGCGCUGGAGAACUGAGGGGGGCUGCUCCUAGUACGAGAGGACCGGAGUGGACGCAUCACUGGUGUUCGGGUUGUCAUGCCAAUGGCACUGCCCGGUAGCUAAAUGCGGAAGAGAUAAGUGCUGAAAGCAUCUAAGCACGAAACUUGCCCCGAGAUGAGUUCUCCCUGAGACUUAGAGUCUCCUGAA
rnacentral:rRNA from 1 species